GCCAGAGUGGCGGAAUUGGCAGACGCGCUGGAUUCAAAAUCCAGUGGGCUUUAAACCCGUGCGGGUUCGAGUCCCGCCUCUGGCACUA
rnacentral:tRNA from 1 species